UGAGGAAUCUGUCCAUCGGCGGGGGAUAGCCGGCCCAACGGCCGGGUAAUACCGCGUACGACCACAUGGGGACAUCCCUGAGUGGUGAAAGCAGCAAUGCGCCGAUGGAGUGCCUCGCGGCCUAUCAGCUAGUUGGUGAGGUAACGGCUCACCAAGGCGACGACGGGUAGCUGGUCUGAGAGGAUGGCCAGCCACAUUGGGACUGAGACACGGCCCAGAUCCGUACGGG
rnacentral:rRNA from 1 species